rnacentral:rRNA from 1 species
CACGUAGGGGACGAGCGUUGUCCGGAUUCAUUGGGCGUAAAGCGCGCGUAGGCGGCUCGGAAAGUCGGUCGUGAAAUGCCGGGGCUCAACCCCGGGACUGCGUCCGAUACUCCCGAGCUGGAGGCAGGUAGGGGAGAUCGGAAUUCCUGGUGUAGCGGUGAAAUGCGCAGAUAUCAGGAGGAAAACCGGUGGCGAAGGCGGAUCUCUGGGCCUUGCCUGACGCUGAGGCGCGAAAGCUAGGGGAGCGAACAGG